UACGUAGGGAGCGAGCGUUGUCCGGAAUCAUUGGGCGUAAAGAGCAUGUAGGUGGAUCAAUAAGUCUGCUGUGAAAGUCGAAGGCUCAACCUUCGAAAGCCGGUGGAUACUGUUGAUCUAGAGUACGGAAGAGGCGAGUGGAAUUCCUAGUGUAGCGGUGGAAUGCGCAGAUAUCAGGAGGAACACCAAUAGCGAAGGCAGCUCGCUGGGACGUAACUGACACUGAGAUGCGAAAGCGUGGGGAGCAAACAGG
rnacentral:rRNA from 1 species